GCGCGUAAAUUGCCCGAAUCCUGACACAGGGAGGUAGCGACAAGAAAUAACAAUACAGGGCUACUUUAGUCUUGUAAUUGGAAUGAGUACAAUUUACAUCUCUUCACGAGGAUCAAUUGGAGGGCAAGUCUGGUGCCAGCAGCCGCGGUAAUUCCAGCUCCAAAAGCGUAUAUUAAAGUUGUUGCAGUUAAAACGCUCGUAGUCGGAUUUCGGGGCGAGCCUGCCGGUCUGCCGAUGGGUAUGCACUGGCAGGGUCGUCCUUCCUUCCGGAGACUGUCCCUACUCUUAACUGAGCGGGGUCGGGAGACAGAUCGUUUACUUUGAAAAAAUCAGAGUGUUUCAAGCAGGCAGCUCGCUCUUACAUGGAUUAGCAUGGGAUAAUGAAAUAGGACUUUGGUGCUAUUUUGUUGGUUUCGAACACCGAAGUAAUGAUUAACAGGGACAGUCAGGGGCACUCGUAUUCC
rnacentral:rRNA from 1 species